rnacentral:rRNA from 1 species
AUAGCGUAUAUUAAAGUUGUUGCAGUUAAAAAGCUCGUAGUUGAAUUUCGGAAUCAAUGGAUCGGUCAUGCCACUCGGUGUGUACUGGUUUGAUUGGUUCUCACCUUCUAAGGAACCGUGAUGUCAUUAAUUUGGUGUCGCGGGGAAUUAGGACUGUUACUUUGAAAAAAUUAGAGUGUUUAAAGCAAGCUCACGCUUGAAUACAUUAGCAUGGAAUAAUGAAAUAGGACAUUGUAUUCUAUUUUGUUGGUUUCUAGGAUCGAUGUAAUGAUUAAUAGGGAUAGUUGGGGGCAUUAGUAUUCAAUUGUCAGAGGUGAAAUUCUUGGAUUUAUUGAAGACUAACUACUG